rnacentral:tRNA from 1 species
GCGGGAAUAGCUCAGUUGGUAGAGCGCAACCUUGCCAAGGUUGAUGUCGCGAGUUCAAGUCUCGUUUCCCGCU